ACUGCUUUUCUUUGAUGUCCCCAUUUUGUGGAGCCCGUUAGUCCCGCCUAUUUAGGUUCAAGACUAGCGGGUUUUUUAUU
rnacentral:sRNA from 18 species